rnacentral:rRNA from 1 species
UGGGGAAUCUUGGACAAUGGGCGCAAGCCUGAUCCAGCCAUGCCGCGUGAGUGAAGAAGGCCUUAGGGUUGUAAAACUCUUUCGCCGGUGAAGAUAAUGACGGUAACCGGAGAAGAAGCCCCGGCUAACUUCGUGCCAGCAGCCGCGGUAAUACGAAGGGGGCUAGCGUUGUUCGGAAUUACUGGGCGUAAAGCGCACGUAGGCGGAUUUGUAAGUAGGGGGUGAAAUCCCCGGGCUCAACCCGGGAACUGCCUUCUAGACUGCAAGUCUCGAGGUCAGGAGAGGCAAGCGGAAUUCCGAGUGUAGAGGUGAAAUUCGUAGAUAUUCGGAGGAACACCAGUGGCGAAGGCGGCUUGCUGGACUGAUACUGACGCUGAGGUGCGAAAGCGUGGGGAGCAAACAG